rnacentral:rRNA from 1 species
UAAGACAGAGGGUGCAAACGUUGUUCGGAAUUACUGGGCGUAAAGCGCGUGUAGGCGGCUAUGCAAGUCGGAUGUGAAAGCCCUCGGCUCAACCGGGGAAGUGCACUCGAAACUGCAAAGCUGGAGUCUCGGAGAGGAUCGUGGAAUUCUCGGUGUAGAGGUGAAAUUCGUAGAUAUCGAGAGGAACACCGGUGGCGAAGGCGGCGAUCUGGACGAUGACUGACGCUGAGACGCGAAAGCGUGGGGAGCAAACAGGAUUAGAUACCCUGGUAGUCCACGCCGUAAACGAUGGGUGCUAGGUGUCGCGGGCUUUGACCCCUGCGGUGCCGCAGCUAACGCAUUAAGCACCCCGCCUGGGGAGUACGGCCGCAAGGCUA